GGCGCCCAAAGGUUCCCUCAGAAUGGUUGGAAAUCAUUCGCAGAGUGUAAAGGCACAAGGGAGCUUGACUGCGAGACCUACAAGUCGAGCAGGGACGAAAGUCGGGCUUAGUGAUCCGGUGGUUCCGCAUGGAAGGGCCAUCGCUCAACGGAUAAAAGCUACCCCGGGGAUAACAGGCUUAUCUCCCCCAAGAGUUCCCCCAAGAGUCCACAUCGACGGGGAGGUUUGGCACCUCGAUGUCGGCUCAUCGCAUCCUGGGGCUGUAGUCGGUCCCAAG
rnacentral:rRNA from 1 species